CAAAACAAUGACCUAACCAAACAAACAAACCAACCCAUACAACAAAACAAACCAUUUGAUAAAAAAAGUAGAGGAGAUCGAAC
rnacentral:rRNA from 1 species